rnacentral:rRNA from 1 species
AUGAACGCUAGCGACAGGCCUUACACAUGCAAGUUGAGGGGCAGCACAAAGAGUGUAGCAAUACAUUUUUGGUGGCGACCGGCGGAUGGGUGAGUAACGCGUAUACAAUCUGCCUUCUACUGGGGGAUAGCCUUUCGAAAGAGAGAUUAAUACCCCAUAAUAAAUUGAAUAGCAUUAUUUGAUUUUGAAAGAUCCGUCGGUAGAAGAUGAGUAUGCGUCUGAUUAGCUAGUUGGUGAGGUAAUGGCUCACCAAGGCUACGAUCAGUAGGGGACCUGAGAGGACUACCCCCCACACUGAUACUGAGACACGGACCCGACUCCUACGGGAGGCAGCAGUAAGGAAUAUUGGACAAUGGUCGGAAGACUGAUCCAGCCAUGCCGCGUGAAGGAUGAAGGCGCUCAGCGUUGUAAACUUCUUUUGUACGGGAACAAAAUGCGACCUGCGGGUUGUACUGAGGGUACCGUAAGAAUAAGCACCGGCUAACUCCGUG